rnacentral:rRNA from 1 species
UGCAGUCGAGCGGACAGAUGGGAGCUUGCUCCCUGAUGUUAGCGGCGGACGGGUGAGUAACACGUGGGUAACCUGCCUGUAAGACUGGGAUAACUCCGGGAAACCGGGGCUAAUACCGGAUGGUUGUUUGAACCGCAUGGUUCAGACAUAAAAGGUGGCUUCGGCUACCACUUACAGAUGGACCCGCGGCGCAUUAGCUAGUUGGUGAGGUAACGGCUCACCAAGGCGACGAUGCGUAGCCGACCUGAGAGGGUGAUCGGCCACACUGGGACUGAGACACGGCCCAGACUCCUACGGGAGGCAGCAGUAGGGAAUCUUCCGCAAUGGACGAAAGUCUGACGGAGCAACGCCGCGUGAGUGAUGAAGGUUUUCGGAUCGUAAAGCUCUGUUGUUAGGGAAGAACAAGUGCCGUUCAAAUAGGGCGGCACCUUGACGGUACCUAACCAGAAAGCCACGGCUAACUACGUGCCAGCAGCCGCGGUAAUACGUAGGUGGCAAGCGUUGUCCGGAAUUAUUGGGCGUAAAGGGCUCGCAGGCGGUUUCUUAAGUCUGAUGUGAAAGCCCCCGGCUCAACCGGGGAGGGUCAUUGGAAACUGGGGAACUUGAGUGCAGAAGAGGAGAGUGGAAUUCCACGUGUAGCGGUGAAAUGCGU